GACGAACGCUGGCGGCGUGCCUAAUACAUGCAAGUAGAACGCAGUUGCGAACGGGUGAGUAACGCGUAGGUAACUGCCUCAUAGCGGGGGAUACCUAUUGGCAACGAUUGCUAAUACCGCAUACUGUGAGUUGGACCUACGUUGUAUUAUGCAGUUGAUUAGGUAAAGGCUCAACAAGUCGACGAUACAUAGCCGACCUGAGGGGGUGAUCGGCAGACUGGGGAACUGGUGACGGACCAGACGCCUACGGGAGGCAGCAGGAGGAAAUCUUCGGGAAUGGACGGAAAUUUGACCGAGCAACGCCGCGUGAGUGAAGAAGGUUUUCGGAUCGUAAAGCUCUGUUGUUAGAGAAUCGGUAACUAACCAGAAAGGGACGGCUAACUACGUGCCAGCAGCCGCGGUAAUUC
rnacentral:rRNA from 1 species